CCAAAUUAUAAGGCACAACAGCUGAUCAGAGCAAAUUAAAAAAGCAGCGUCGCUGGAACGAAUCUGAACAGUCCUGAUCAGCGGCAAGCUAGGCUAGCCGCUGGGCUAACAUCCAUUUUGUUUAUUUACACCUGUAAGGGGAAAUCUUCGGAUAAACGACCAAACUGCACUCAAAUAAGCCAACCCUUUCCAAAAUUGCAUUUGCUGGCUAGCUCAAGGUGUAGCAGAGGAUCCAAAGGAAUUUUACUUUUAUUCACAGGUGCGCGUCGUACCCAAAUUUACAAAUACAGUGUCGGAGCUGAAUGUUGGCACAAAUAUAUGAAUUUUCCAUAAGAGUGGCUCAUUUUAAUAAGCGUAAUUUUAUUGCAAUAUUUAGUAAAAAAUUUAAACGAAAAAAAUGUCUAAAAUAAGGGUAACAAAAGUGUUGACACACUUAGGAUUUAGCACUUCUUAAGCACUUUUAGUCUUGAUUGGCACUCAAAUCUGGUGGAGUAGGAUAGCAAUAUAAGUAUACCUUUGGGGGUCUAAUUACCUGAAGUUUCAAUCCUGACCUGUUUUGUUAAAUAU